UACGGGGGGGGCAAGCGUUGUUCGGAAUUACUGGGCGUAAAGGGCUCGUAGGCGGCCAACUAAGUCAGACGUGAAAUCCCUCGGCUUAACCGGGGAACUGCGUCUGAUACUGGAUGGCUUGAGAUUGGGGAGAGGGAUGCGGAAUUCCAGGUGUAGCGGUGAAAUGCGUAGAUAUCUGGAGGAACACCGGUGGCGAAGGCGGCAUCCUGGACCAACACUGACGCUGAGGAGCGAAAGCCAGGGGAGCAAACGGG
rnacentral:rRNA from 1 species